GACGAACGCUGGCGGCGUGCUUAACACAUGCAAGUCGAACGGAAAGGCCCUGAUUUUGUGGGGUGCUCGAGUGGCGAACGGGUGAGUAACACGUGAGUAACCUGUCCUUGACUUUGGGAUAACAUCAGGAAACUGGGGCUAUUAUCGGAUAGGAGCUCCUGCUGCACGGUGGGGGUUGGAAAGUUUCGGCGGUUGGGGAUGGACUCGCGGCUUAUCAGCUUGUUGGUGGGGUAGUGGCUUACCAAGGCUUUGACGGGUAGCCGGCCUGAGAGGGUGACCGGCCACAUUGGGACUGCGGUACGGCCCAGACUCCGACGGGAGGCAGCAGUGGGGAAUAUUGCACAAUGGGCGGAAGCCUGAUGCAGCGGCGCCGCGUGCGGAAUGACGGCCUUCGGGUUGUAAACCGCUUUCGCCUGUGACGAAGCGUGAGUGACGGUAAUGGGUAAAGAAGCACCGGCUAACUACGUG
rnacentral:rRNA from 1 species